UGGGGAGUAGCCAAGUGGUAAGGCAACGGGUUCUGGUCCCGUGACUCGGGGGUUCGAAUCCCUCCUCCCCAGCCA
rnacentral:tRNA from 1 species